GGGGACAUCGUUGUCAGCCACCUGCCAGCCUACCAUGCGGCUAUGUGCCCACGGUGUACUUCUCUGAUCUCAGGCCUGCCAUCUGCAGAGGGAUGUACUAAUUUGCAAAACAUCACCAGAGACUGCUUGUUCCUGGGAAACUGCAGAGAAAUGGGAAAAUUUCCAGUGAAACAACUAUAAAGAGAUCUUUCCUGGUCUGGAGAUGCGGGGAGGGGACACACAUUUACUGAGCAUCUAUUGUGUGUUAGGCACACACACCAGGUGCCUCACCUGCUUAAUUGUAAGCUACUAAGCUGAAGGUGGAGAUACAAUGCUUGGCACUCAACGCAUGGCACUCACUCAAAAAGGAAAUAUUUUUUGAAUGGAUGAAUGAAACUUAUAUCCCAAUUCAUCCUCCCAAGAGUCCAAUGAGAAGAGAGUUAGAGACAAGGUAACUGAUGGUGAGAGAAGGUCAGAAACUCGUGCCCAGUCACUGAGUUGGUAAGUGGUCAAGGAAGAAUUCAAUCCACAUCUUAGAACUUGCAUUCUUGCCAUUGCCCUAGGUUGACAGAAAUUAUCACCUUGACGGGAAGUGUUCACAGUGGGGGCCUCUGAGAACGUGGGACAGAGGAGAUAGAAAGAACAGGUUGAAUUACAUGACUUAUAUAAAUAAGGUUGAAAAAAUUAGAUGGGGAAGGAUGGAAGAGGAAGCCACACUGAGGGUGGGGAUGGGGCUAUGGCAGUGAGCCUUUCAGGGCCCAGGAGGAUUCUGGGAGGAGAUGGAGAGAAGCCUGUGACAGCAGGGAAAGGCGUGGAAUGAAGUUUUUAUCUGAAACCCCUGGCCUUGGGGAUGGAGUUCCUGUUUGUGUCGGAAGAGAGAUGAGAGGGGGCAGUGUCCGGAGGGCCCCUAGGCUAUCAGAGGAGUGUUUUCAUGUGAAGCAAAGGAAACAAAGUAAGGCGGACACAGCGAGCGAGACUUAGAAUAGACAAGAAAAGCUUUCUCGAGAGAGGAAAAGUCUUAAAUUAGCCUUUGGGGCAUGGGCCCCUCUUCUUGUGGGAGAAAGACUUCUUUGGGACUUGACUGAGCGGAGGUAAGAUCAGGUCUUAUUCGAAAGUGGACCAGGACCAGCCGUAAAAGGAUGAGAAAGCCCACAGCAACUGGCCCACAGGAACUGUUCAUCAGUGUAUGUUCAGGCUCAAGCAUGGCAGAUACAAUUGAAAUAACAGCUGGAAACUGAUAACCAAUUUCUAAGUUGCCCGUCCCUAUCAAACCAGCAGUCUGAGGAGAAAAGCCUAUUCCUUCAUCUGAAGACUCUUCUGCCCGGUUGGAUAUCUGAACAACUGCAUCCAUAAGCAAAGUCCAGUCCAGAGAAAGCCAUCAGAUUGCAGCAAUCUACACCAGCUCACAGCGUCAAACAUCUUUCUCUUCAUUUGGUCCAGUUCUGGUCAGCUCAUCCUGAGCCAUCCCCAGGUCCUACCUUCAAAUGCAAACCUUCUGUUCUCUCAGCAGUUCUGGACCCUUCGUGGCUAUGAUCGUCCUCUGCCCCUUGGAUGGCAUCUGUGUCAGUUGACAUGGAUAACACUUCCACCCAACCCAGUCUGGCCUCCAGGACUCCGCUUCAGUGCCAGCCCUGGUGGCUGAUAUUCCUGUUGGGUCAGCUCCAGGCCAGUGAGUCUAAGAUUUGGCAGCUUGUCACCUGACCUGGUGUUGACCUUUAAAGCCAGGUGCUGCAAGGUCAGCUGACUUUCUCACCUCCAGUUACUGAUUUGCUGCUUCCUGCUUCAGCCUGUUUGAUUUGGAUUGUUCACAUGGACAAUAAAAAUGAUUUGUUUGCGAUAAGUUCCUUAGGAAAGCAGUGUGGAGGAAAAAAUUAACCAAGUUCCAACGUAAUUUCCCCAGGCAGUGGGCAAACGACAGGGCUCAACAGUAUUUUCUUGUCUGUGUGGGUUUAAAUUGCCAAAUUAUAUUUGGAGUCAUUCCUUCUAUGUUCAAUUUUUUCCAUAAUUCAGUGAAAGGCAGGGUGUGUUGGGAAAGAUCUCGUCUAGUAUGUCUGAUCCAAGGGGGUCGGCAAAGACGCAGACAGGGACUAGUAUUAAGGGUCUGAUGGUGACUGUCUUUCCUAAACCGUAGUGCACCCCUCAACCUCCAUGCUGUUAAGGAGAGAAACCAAGUUGUAGAGACAGAGUAACCCAAAUUGAAAUCCUCGACCAUCAUUUCUUAGCUGUAUGACUUUGGGGAGUGGGUUGGUCUCUCUGGACCGACACAGCUAUAAAACAGGGAAAAUACUUCUUCACAGGGUUGUUGGGAAGUACCAGCAACAGCAAAGAGCACACAUGGUCAGUACUGAAGAAAUGGCAAUAACAAAUGUCAAGGGCCAUCCGUGCACCUGACGCUGUGCAGAUAUGAAAUAAAGCAACAGCACUCAUG